rnacentral:rRNA from 1 species
AGAGUUUGAUCCUGGCUCAGGAUGAACGCUAGCGGCAGGCCUAAUACAUGCAAGUCGAACGAUACCAGGGAGCUUGCUCUCUGGGAAAGUGGCGCACAGGUGCGUAACGCGUAUGCAACCUACCUUUAUCAGGGGGAUAGCCUCUCGAAAGAGAGAUUAACACCGCAUAAAAUCAAAGAACGGCAUCGUUUAAUGAUCAAAUAUUUAUAGGAUAAAGAUGGGCAUGCGUGACAUUAGCUAGUUGGUGAGGUAACGGCUCACCAAGGCGACGAUGUCUAGGGGAUCUGAGAGGAUGACCCCCCACACUGGUACUGAGACACGGACCAGACUCCUACGGGAGGCAGCAGUAAGGAAUAUUGGUCAAUGGAGGCAACUCUGAACCAGCCAUGCCGCGUGCAGGAAGACGGCCCUAUGGGUUGUAAACUGCUUUUAUUCGGGAAUAAACCCUUUUACGUGUAAGAGGUUGAAUGUACCGAAAGAAUAAGGAUCGGCUAACUCCGUGCCAGCAGCCGCGGUAAUACGAAGGGUGCAAGCGUUACUCGGAAUUACUGGGCGUAAAGCGUGCGUAGGUGGUGAGUUAAGUCUGUCGUGAAAGCCCCGGGCUCAACCUGGGAAUGGCGAUGGAUACUGGCUCGCUAGAGUGCGGUAGAGGAGAGUGGAAUUCCCGGUGUAGCAGUGAAAUGCGUAGAGAUCGGGAGGAACAUCAGUUGCGAAGGCGGCUCUCUGGACCAGCACUGACACUGAGGCACGAAAGCGUGGGGAGCAAACCAGGAUUAGAUACCCUGGUAGUCCACGCCCUAAANCGAUGCGAANCUGGANCGUUGGGAGCAAUCCAGGCUCUCAGUGUCGAAGCUAACCGCGUUAAGUUCGCCGCCUGG